AUACUUGGUUGCAGGGGGAAUGCUAUGAUCCGGGAGGUGAUUUCUCCAAGGUGAGGCUCUUUUAUUACACACUUCUUUGGGAUAAUCCCUGUGAUUUCUCCAAAUGUGGGAAAUGCAACUGCAUAAUUUUUGGUAGUGUGGACUGUGUUUGUGCAGUUCACU